rnacentral:rRNA from 2 species
UUAAAUUGAAGAGUUUGAUCAUGGCUCAGAUUGAACGCUGGCGGCAGGCCUAACACAUGCAAGUCGAACGGUAACAGGAAGCAGCUUGCUGUUUCGCUGACGAGUGGCGGACGGGUGAGUAAUGUCUGGGAAACUGCCUGAUGGAGGGGGAUAA